rnacentral:rRNA from 1 species
AUUGAACGCUGGCGGCAGGCCUAACACAUGCAAGUCGAGCGGAUGAAGGGAGCUUGCUCCCUGAUUUAGCGGCGGACGGGUGAGUAAUGCCUAGGAAUCUGCCUGGUAGUGGGGGAUAACGUUCGGAAACGGACGCUAAUACCGCAUACGUCCUACGGGAGAAAGUGGGGGAUCUUCGGACCUCACGCUAUCAGAUGAGCCUAGGUCGGAUUAGCUAGUUGGUGAGGUAAAGGCUCACCAAGGCGACGAUCCGUAACUGGUCUGAGAGGAUGAUCAGUCACACUGGAACUGAGACACGGUCCAGACUCCUACGGGAGGCAGCAGUGGGGAAUAUUGGACAAUGGGCGCAAGCCUGAUCCAGCCAUGCCGCGUGUGUGAAGAAGGUCUUCGGAUUGUAAAGCACUUUAAGUUGGGAGGAAGGUCAGUAGCUUAAUACGUUGCUGAUUUGACGUUACCGACAGAAUAAGCACCGGCUAACUCUGUGCCAGCAGCCGCUGUAACAC